rnacentral:piRNA from 1 species
UCCCUCCAUUGCCAUUAGUUCUUUGUCUAG